GAUGAAGAACGUAGCGAAACGCGAUACGUAAUGUGAAUUGCAGAAUUCAGUGAAUCAUCGAAUCUUUGAACGCACCUUGCGCCCCUCGGCAUUCCGAGGGGCAUGCCUGUUUGAGUGUCACGGAUCCUUCGAACCCCGCCGGUCUCCGACGAGCCGGCCGCCUGGGUUCGGUCCUGGGCGCUACGCCACCCCUCCGGGGCUGGCCCGCCUCACAAGCAUCAGCUGGGCCUCGCGGCGUGGGCGGGCUCCGAUCGGCGUGAUAAGUCAUCUGCCGAGAGGGUGCCCGUCCGUCCCGCGGAUCGCGGUCCGCUCCCAACCCCUCCCCGCGCGCCGUCCCCCCCCGGGGAGCGCACGGGGACGUUUCGACGCUCUGGCCUCAAAUCAGGUAGGACCACCCGCUGAACUUAAGCAUAUCAAUAAGCGGAGGA
rnacentral:misc_RNA from 1 species